rnacentral:misc_RNA from 1 species
GAAGACUUAUUUUUGAUAUUUGCAUCGGAUGGCCUAUGGGAUCAACUAACCGAUGACGAAGCUAAGGAUAUUGUUUUGAAGAAUCCUAGAAUUGGAAUAGCAAAACGAUUAGUGAGAGCUGCCCUUGAGGGUGCUGCAGAGAAGAAAGAAAUGAGAUAUGAGGACAUCAAACGACUAGAGAAGGGAGAAAGGCGGCACGUUCAUGAUGAUAUCACAGUUAUUGUGAUAUAUUUGGAUCACCCUGGAAGGUCCUCAAAUUCUGGAAUUAACAUUGUUAAGGGCACGAAUGUCCCUCUUGACAUAUACUCCUUGAACUCGGGUCAUUAAGGAGAGAACAUAUCUUAUGUUUCCCCAUGAAAAGUGUCUAAUACAUGUAUACAUUAUAUAUACCAUUUUG